UGGGCAACCUGCCCCAGACACAGGGAUAACCCCGGGAAACCGGGGCUAAUACCGGAUAUGAGUCCGAGCGGCAUCACGCGGACUGGAAAGUUUUUCGGCUAAGGAUGGGCUCGCGGCCUAUCAGCUUGUUGGUGGGGUAAUGGCCUACCAAGGCGACGACGGGUAGCCGGCCUGAGAGGGCGACCGGCCACACUGGGACUGAGACACGGCCCAGACUCCUACGGGAGGCA
rnacentral:rRNA from 1 species